rnacentral:lncRNA from 1 species
UUUUUUUGCCUCUCAUUAUUAUUUUUGUUGGAGAAGAAGUUACAUUUGUUACGCACUAAAAGGCACCUGGUAGCAUAUCAUGUCAUCAGAUAAUCUUCUGGACUGUGUUCCUACUUCCUACUGCUUCACUGAUUUCUUGUGGUUGCUAGAAAAAUGAGAUUUGUCAAACAGAAGCUUCCUUCCGCCUGCCACUGACAUGCCACCGACGAUGUGUGAAUAUUACGUGAGCAGCUACAACCUUUUUUUAUGGAUGAGACGAUGAGCAGCUACAAACUUGAUACUGUUAAUGGUAGUCUCAUUCUUCCAAAAAAAAUAGAAAAACAAACUCAUACAUUUCAACACAGCUCCUUCUUCACAUAAACUUCCAGUUUAAAUGAAAAUACUAUUAUUUUCGAUGAAGGGAGCUUUAUUACUUAAAAGGUUUAAGCAUUAUACCCGGCCCCUCUGCAUAAAUGAAAAUACUAAUAGCAACAAAAAAAACUUAAUAAGAAAACUCCGACAAUGUGGACCGAGAUUGACUUGGUAGUAGAUCAAAUCACACGUGUUCAAUCUUUGCUCAAUGAGAACUGAGGAACAACUUUGUAAAAAAAACUACCCUACUCCAUACUGAUCAUUGCAUGACAUCAAUAUUUCUCUUACAGAACUAAACUUAGACAGCCAUGUAAGCUGUAAACAUUGUUCUUGAUUAAACGGACAAAACAUAAAGGAAUUAGAAGUCUCACCAUCAGUAUAUAAUGUUUCCACGCAAUAUUUUUGUCCGAACAACCACAAUCAAUAUCCAUUACAUCCACACUCGCCUCAAGAGGGAGAGUAGACCCGCCUGCACAAUAGAGACUAUAGAACAUUCACAUGAAGUGCUAAAAAAUGUAAUACCAAAAUUUAAUCUAAUGAGGAAGCAGAGCCCGCUGCCGCAUCCAUGGAUGGCCACCAGAGGAGUCUCCAGCGCCGUGCGACGUCGACCUGCCGCAAGGGCCCGAACGGGCAACGGCACACGCAUCCACCCGCUG